rnacentral:rRNA from 1 species
UGAACCUCCUUCGGGAGGGGAUUAGUGGCGAACGGGUGAGUAACACGUGGGCAAUCUGCCCUUCACUCUGGGACAAGCCCUGGAAACGGGGUCUAAUACCGGAUACGACCUCCGACCGCAUGGUCUGGUGGUGGAAAGCUCCGGCGGUGAAGGAUGAGCCCGCGGCCUAUCAGCUUGUUGGUGGGGUGAUGGCCUACCAAGGCGACGACGGGUAGCCGGCCUGAGAGGGCGACCGGCCACACUGGGACUGAGACACGGCCCAGACUCCUACGGGAGGCAGCAGUGGGGAAUAUUGCACAAUGGGCGAAAGCCUGAUGCAGCGACGCCGCGUGAGGGAUGACGGCCUUCGGGUUGUAAACCUCUUUCAGCAGGGAAGAAGCGAGAGUGACGGUACCUGCAGAAGAAGCGCCGGCUAACUACGUGCCAGCAGCCGCGGUAAUACGUAGGGCGCAAGCGUUGUCCGGAAUUAUUGGGCGUAAAGAGCUCGUAGGCGGCUUGUCACGUCGGAUGUGAAAGCCCGGGGCUUAACCCCGGGUCUGCAUUCGAUACGGGCAGGCUAGAGUUCGGUAGGGGAGAUCGGAAUUCCUGGUGUAGCGGUGAAAUGCGCAGAUAUCAGGAGGAACACCGGUGGCGAAGGCGGAUCUCUGGGCCGAUACUGACGCUGAGGAGCGAAAGCGUGGGGAGCGAACAGGAUUAGAUACCCUGGUAGUCCACGCCGUAAACGUUGGGAACUAGGUGUGGGCGACAUUCCACGUCGUCCGUGCCGCAGCUAACGCAUUAAGUUCCCCGCCUGGGGAGUACGGCCGCA